GGCCGGAUAGCUCAGUUGGUAGAGCAGAGGAUUGAAAAUCCUCGUGUCGGCGGUUCGAUUCCGUCUCCGGCCA
rfam:Oceanospirillum linum strain ATCC 11336 NODE_3_length_573653_cov_973.263, whole genome shotgun sequence.